GGGGGGAGAGGAGAGACCACUAAUGGAAAGUCGGGGAGAAAAGGACACCACUAAGGGAGGUGGGGGGGGGAAGGAGAGACCACUAAGGGGCAGGGGAGAUCUCUAAGGAAUGGAAGGGAGAGCUCUAUAGGACAGGGAGACAGGGAGCUCUUUCACACCACGCGCGCGUACACACACACACACACACACACACAAUGCAUCCCUAUACACACAGAAACACAACAUGCUUCCCUUACACACAGAAAAACACACAAUGCAACCCUUACACAUAAAGACAAUGCAUCAUUUGCAC